rnacentral:lncRNA from 1 species
CCGUCGUGUGGUCGGGUCGCAAAAGGGAAGUCGGUGAAACCCAUGCACUCUCGGGGGAUGUUGGUGCGUAGGGAUCUGUAGAGGCUCGAGUGGACAACGGGUCGGGUCGGGUCGACGCUUAGCGGGUCAGGUUCUACUUGAGAGGUGUAAGCCCACACGCCACCUAUCUGGCUCCCGCGCUCUAAUACGACCACUGAGUGGCCUUCACGACGCAGCUCACGCGCAGCCACGAGUCCGG